CUACACCCACCCUCGUGCUCUGGGUUGCUCAGAAAUUCCAAGAAAUUCCAAGUUUCCUGCUGCCUCACUGGCUGGAACAGAAUGGAAUGUGCACCACCGCUGAUAACAACAGGAGAGGCCCCAAACCACAGAGGCAGGCAGCCCCGGGGUAAAUCCUUGCUCCACCGCUUCACGCGGAAAGGUAUUGUACAAGUUACUUAGCUUUUGUCAUAGGUCGGAUUUCCUGGGAAAGAGAGUCUAGGUCUCUGAGGGUUGUGUGGAGGAGGCUAACGGGGGAGUGAGCUCAGAGACAACGACAACAUGGGGAGGGAUGCUGGGCAGAGGGAGAAGCUGUACCAUGAUGCAGUUUCAAUGGAGAUGUCCAGCAAUCCCACAGGGAGCUGCGAUGGCCCUUCAGAGUUGUCCCAGCUGAGGACAAAUGGUUAGGCUUUUGUACUUCCAUGUUGGCCAGUCACAGAUGCAGGCUGCCUUCUGAGAAAUGGUCUGGGAUGAAAGCUCUCUUUGACUGAGUCUUGGAGCAGCAGCUAGAGGUCCUGGUAGUAGGCGGAAUGAGUGCCUACAUCCUGAGGUGUAUCUGGGCAGCCCACCGUACCUGUGCCUACAUGUUCAAUAUAUCAGAGAUCAAGGAAGUCUCCUUGGCCACUCUACCUGAAAUUGCAACCCUUUAAUCUCAUAUCCCCUGUACCCCAUCUUACUUUUAUCCAUCGUAUUUAUCAUGAACUGACAUACAUUUUUUUAAAGAUUUUUUUGAUUGGACCAUUUUUAAAGUCUUCAUUGAAUUUAUUACAAUAUUGCUUCUGUUUUAUGUUUUGGUGUUUUUGGUCACGAGGCAUGUGGGAUCUUAGCUCCCCGACCAGGGAUCAAACCCGAGCUCCCUGCAUUGGAAGGUGAAGUCUUAACCACUGGACUGCCAGAAGUUAAUCCCGAAGCAUUUCUGCCCUCCACAUUUAUUGAAAGUCACUUGGAACAUUGCCUGGUGCAGACACAGAUGAGCCAUUAACCUGGGGAGCCCCAUGUUGAAGAUGAUGGAGCCAUGAGAUGGAGGAACCUGUUUCCUGGAAUCAGGAAGAGGACCACGGCUGAUCGAUGUCACCCAUUUUGGCUUUUACAUUUGUGAAGAUUUCUACUGUUUGGGACAAUACACAUUUUUGAAAUCUGUUUAUAAUAGCAGAUAAUGAUACUUUAAUUAAUGUUAUCACUUAUUAAUAAAAGGAAGAUCAAAACCUAAAUUUCAAUUAACUCAUGUUUAUGAUGAGUUGAUUUCCAGAGGAUUAAAAUUUUCUUACAAUCACUGCCUAGAGUUGUCUCUCAGAUUGUAGAGUCAGUCAGUGCCCAUGCAGCGGGAGAGAUGGAGGUUCAGUAAGGUGGGAUCAAGGGCUUCCAAAGUUCUUAUGGCCUUUCCCAAGCCAUUCCCCAGCCAGAGAACUAAUGCCUGGAAUGGAAAGGAAUGAAUAUCACCUCUGUUUUUGACCUUUAUCUCUGUCAAAAUGUAAACCCUCCAUAUCACGUUAAGCUUUUAUUUAUUAUUUAAACUGUUGUGUACAAGAAGGGUCUAAAGAACAGACAAAACUAAUACUGGCCUCUAGAUAACAUCCAUGAAGUGCAUUGAGA